GUAGGUGGCAAGCGUUGUCCGGAAUUACUGGGCGUAAAGCGCGCGCAGGCGGUUCUUUAAGUCUGAUGUGAAAGCCACGGCUCAACCGUGGAGGGUCAUUGGAAACUGGAGAACUUGAGUACAGAAGAGGAAAGCGGAAUUCCACGUGUAGCGGUGAAAUGCGUAGAGAUGUGGAGGAACACCAGUGGCGAAGGCGGCUUUCUGGUCUGUAACUGACGCUGAGGCGCGAAAGCGUGGGGAGCAAACAGGGAUUAGAUACCCUGGUAGUCCACGCCGUAAACGAUGAGUGCUAAUGUUAGGGGGUUUCCGCCCCCCUUAGUGCUGCAGCUAACGCAUUAAGCACUCCGCCUGGGGAGUACGGCCGCAAGGCUG
rnacentral:rRNA from 1 species